rnacentral:rRNA from 1 species
CAGUAGCCGCGGUAAUACGUAGGGUGCAAGCGUUAAUCGGAAUUACUGGGCGUAAAGCGUGCGCAGGCGGUUUGUUAAGACAGAUGUGAAAUCCCCGGGCUCAACCUGGGAACUGCAUUUGUGACUGGCAAGCUAGAGUCUGGCAGAGGGGGGUAGAAUUCCACGUGUAGCAGUGAAAUGCGUAGAGAUGUGGAGGAAUACCGAUGGCGAAGGCAGCCCCCUGGGCCAAUACUGACGCUCAUGCACGAAAGCGUGGGGAGCAAACAGGAUUAGAUACCCGCGUAGUCCCUGUCUCUUAUAC